CCUUCGGGUUGUAAAGCUCUUUUGUCAGGGAAGAAACGGUGAUCUCGAAUAAAGGUCACUAAUGACGGUACCUGAAGAAUAAGCACCGGCUAACUACGUGC
rnacentral:rRNA from 1 species